CUCAGGGCAAAGCUAUAUUUAAGCAACGCAUUUUUAUAUUGCGAAGUACAUAUUUUAAGAGAGCAGAUGCAGAAUAAAUGGUUUUUAUGUGAAAGUGUAGGUGUUUUACCUUUAAUAUGUAUUAUGGGGUUCUGAUGUUCCGUUCUAAUAGCAAUUAAGUAAUAAUUUUUUUAGAAAUAUAAUAAGAAAUGAGCGUUGAACUCGCUACUCUAUGGGUAUAGACGGGAACUUCCGUGUUUACAUUGACAACGAAAAUGACAAAACGGGAGAUUUUCAACACAGAAAGCUGAAAACUGUGGAUGUUCUUAUGUCUGAAACACAGAUAAAGUUCAAAAUGUAUGCAUGUGAAGGAGGCAUCCCAGAUAUUUCAGACAAUGACCCCCCACCCCCCCCCCCCCCCCACCCACCCCCACACACACACGACACAUGGAACUGAGACUAACGGAAGAAGGGGAACGGAUAGAAAAUCAUUGAGGACUAGAAAAGGUGGUACAACACUUUCAAGCUGGUAAUCUGUCACAAAUAAUGACAGUACAGAUAUGAAUCCUUGGAGUACAUCGGGAUCUUCUGUUUUGGCUUCCAUGAAGAAAACCAGCACAGUCCUGUGACCAUGCACCAAACUCAGUAAUGAAUGAGAGGUGAACUUCGGGGAGAGGAAAAUAAUCAAUAAUAUGUCAUCCUGAUCAUUUUGACUUGGCUAGCUCCAUGCAGCAGUUAAAGCUGCUAAAAGAGUUGUUUCCCAAAACAGACAUGGCUCAGAUGUGGGAUAUCCCCCGACGAAGCUCCUGACAUCAUGGAAAGUGAGGUGGAAAUUGGUGCGACUGAGAAUCCUGAAGAAGAAAAAAGAUGAAAGCUCUGGUCUUAUCUGAAGUCUGUUUACGAGAAUGAAAAAGACAGAGUUUGGCGAACAAGACUGCUUGAUUUCUAAACAAAUAUUUCUUUACAAUCUAAAAUAUUUCUUAAUUUGGGAAAAAAUAAAACACAGAUAUGUCCCUUUGAA